CAACCCUUGACAUGCCAGGACGACUCCCAGAGAUGGGUUUCUUCCAGCAAUGGACCUGGACACAGGUGCUGCAUGGCUGUCGUCAGCUCGUGUCGUGAGAUGUUGGGUUAAGUCCCGCAACGAGCGCAACCCUCAUCUUCAGUUGCCAUCAGUUCGGCUGGGCACUCUGAAGAAACUGCCGGUGAUAAGCCGGAGGAAGGUGGGGAUGACGUCAAGUCCUCAUGGCCCUUACAGCCUGGGCUACACACGUGUUACAAUGGCACUGACAAUGCGCUGCUAGCCCGCAAGGGUAUGCCAAUCGCAAAAAGGUGCCUCAGUUCGGAUUGUACUCUGCAACUCGAGUACAUGAAGCUGGAAUCGCUAGUAAUCGCGCAUCAUCGCGGCGCGGUGAAUA
rnacentral:rRNA from 1 species